rnacentral:rRNA from 1 species
UACGUAGGGGGCUAGCGUUAUCCGGAAUUACUGGGCGUAAAGGGUGCGUAGGCGGUCUUUCAAGUCAGAAGUGAAAGGCUACGGCUCAACCGUAGUAAGCUUUUGAAACUGUAAGACUUGAGUGCAGGAGAGGAGAGUGGAAUUCCUAGUGUAGCGGUGAAAUGCGUAGAUAUUAGGAGGAACACCAGUUGCGAAGGCGGCUCUCUGGACUGUAACUGACGCUGAGGCACGAAAGCGUGGGGAGCAAACAGGAUUAGAUACCCUGGUAGUCCACGCCAUAAACGAUGAGUACUAGCUGUCGGAGGUUACCCCCUUCGGUGGCGCAGCUAACGCAUUAAGUACUCCGCCUGGGAAGUACGCUCGCAAGAGUGAA